rnacentral:rRNA from 1 species
GGCCAGCGGGAGAAGGGUUGUUAAGGAACUCGGCAAGUUGACCCCGUAACUUCGGGAGAAGGGGUGCUUACGAAGGUAAGCCGCAGAGAAUAGGCCCAAGCGACUGUUUAGCAAAAACACAGCUCUAUGCUAAAUCGAAAGAUGACGUAUAUGGGGUGACACCUGCCCGGUGCUGGAAGGUUAAGAGGAGAUGUGAGAGCAUUGAAUUGAAGCCCCAGUAAACGGCGGCCGUAACUAUAACGGUCCUAAGGUAGCGAAAUUCCUUGUCAGGUAAGUUCUGACCCGCACGAAUGGUGUAACGAUUUGGGCACUGUCUCAACAACCUACCCGGCGAAAUUGUAGUAUCGGUGAAGAUGCCGGUUACCCGCGACUAGACGGAAAGACCCCAUGGAGCUUCACUGUAGCUUAAUAUUGAAUUUUGGUAUUUCAUGUACAGGAUAGGUAGGAGACUGGGAAAUACAGGCGUCAGCUUGUAUGGAGUCACUGUUGGGAUACCACUCUUGAGGUGCUGAAAUUCUAACCUGCGUCUUUGAAUCAAGACGGGGGACAUUGUUAGGUGGGCAGUUUGACUGGGGCGGUCGCCUCCAAAAGAGUAACGGAGGCGCUCAAAGGUUCGCUCAGCAUGGACGGAAACCAUGCCAAAGAGUGCAAACGCAAAAGCGAGCCUAACUGCGAGACUGACGGGUCGAGCAGUAACGAAAGUUGGAGUUAGUGAUCCGGCGGUAUGUGAGUGGAAAUGCCGUCGCUCAACGGAUAAAAGCUACCCUGGGGAUAACAGGCUGAUCUCCCCCAAGAGUCCACAUCGACGGGGAGGUUUGGCACCUCGAUGUCGGCUCAUCGCAUCCUGGGGCUGAAUUCGGUCCCAAGGGUUUGGCUGUUCGCCAAUUAAAGCGGUACGCGAGCUGGGUUCAGAACGUCGUGAGACAGUUCGGUCCCUAUCUGUCGUGGGCGUAGGAUAUUUGAAAGGAGCUGUCCCUAGUACGAGAGGACCGGGAUGGACGCACCUCUGGUGAACCAGUUGUCACGCCAGUGGCACGGCUGGGCAGCUAAGUGCGGAACGGAUAAACGCUGAAAGCAUCUAAGCGUGAAGCCGACCUUAAGAUAAGAUAUCCGUUCUUCGGAAUAAGACCCCUUGUAGACUACGAGGUUGAUAGGCUUAAAGUGUAAGCAUGGUGACAUGUUUAGCUUGCAAGUACUAAUCGGUCGAUUGCUUUUACAA